AGGAGCUGUUAAGCUCAGCAAGUGAGGGAUUCAAGUGGUGUGUGAAGAGCAGCCACUCCUCACCAUUUAUACAAGGGAGUAAACCUGAUCUUUAUCUCUUUCUAUACAAUCAUGAUAGGUUUAUCUCUUGAAAUUGUCUUGCAUCAAUUAGGUGCUGUCUAAGUUAUUGCAUUCAUGCAUUGAACUGUCGAAUUGAUCAUGCAUUGUUACCCUUGUCUAGAUUGUGCUUGUCCUUGAUCUUUUGUUUGCCUAUUUCAGAAUUAAUAUUUUGUUGAGGCAUUGGUGAUCAAACAAGAUGUGUGAUCUUGCUUUGGUCCCAAUAGGAUGAUUUAAUUUUGCAUUGAGUUGUGGUGGUUUUAGGUACACAAGCAGUGAUACAAGUGACUCACCAACAACCAAGAGUGUAAAGACAAAGGUCUUUUGCCAUUGCAUAUCAUCACUAGGACAUGUCAGUCCCCAAUCUACAGGAAGUGUAGUGUGAUUGAUUAUGCAAUGAGAGAUGGCUAUUGCAUAAUACCAUUAGGACAUGUCUAGUCCUUAGUCUACAGGAAGUGUAGCAUGGGACAUUAUGCAAUAAGAAGUGUGACUUGUGAGGCUCUCUAUGGUGAUUCAAACACCCUAGUUCCUGGUAUAAGGAAGAGAGCAGCUCACAAGACCGAGACCAUCACCACAGCUGUUGAGACCGGUGGUCUAAGGCCAUGAAAGUGCUUACACCUACACAAGCUUAGUUCCAAAUCAAAGUCUCGGAAACUAAGCUUGAGGGGGGAAUGUUAAAUAAGCAAGGUUCAUGG
rnacentral:lncRNA from 1 species